rnacentral:rRNA from 1 species
GACGAACGCUGGCGGCGUGCUUAACACAUGCAAGUCGAACGGAAAGGCCCGGCUUUUGUGGGGUGCGCGAGUGCCGAACGGGUGAGUAUCACGUGAGUAACCUGUCCUUGUCUGUGGGAUAACUUCAGGAAACUCGGGCUAAUACCCGAUAGGAGCUCCUGCUGCAUGGUUUGGGUUGGAAAGUUGCGGAGUUUGGUGAUGAACUCGCGGCUUAUCAUUUUGUUGGUGGGGUAGUGGCUUACCAAGGCUUUGACGGGUAGCUGGCGUGAGAGGGUGACCGGCCACAAUGGGACUGGGGAACGGCCCAGACAGCAACUGGAGGCAUCAGGGGAAAAUAUUGCAAAAUAGGCGGCAGACUUGUGGAACAAUGCCGCGUCCGAGAUGACGGCUGUCAGGUGGUAACGCGGGUUCGACUGGGACGCAGCGUGAGUGACGGUAACGGGUAAAGAAGCACCGGCUAACUACGUG